ensembl:antisense Gm15512 predicted gene 15512
GCAGAGGACCCUGCAGGGUAAGAAGUAGCCACAGUGGCUCUGAGAUGGGAGAGUUAAAGGAGCCUCUGAGGUGGCUUCCCCCACAGUAGUGCUGAGACCCUCAGGGAGCUCCACCCACACCCGAGGAUGAUCCGCCUUCCAAGAAACUUAGCACCUGGUAAACUCCCCUCGGCACAGACAUGAAGAAUGAGGCUGGCGACAGGCGCCAUGCUUUCAGAGCACGUUUAAUAAAGUUCUUGGUGGCCUGGCUCUCAAGGUGCCAUCCUUUUGGGUGGCCACUGAGGACUCUUCCUGGAUGAGAGGCGGAUGCUCAUGAUCCUGGCACCGUCUCCUCUGACCCCUCCUGGGACCCGUAUGUUUGGAAAAGUAUCCAGAUCCUGCCUGGACUCUCUGGGAUCCUGACCGUCCCCAUCCUGGUGUCAGGAUCCCUCUCUCUAUCUGGCACUUGGAGGCAGAUGGCCCUGCUGGUGGCCUGGCCCAAACUUGAAGCUUCUGGCUUCCUCUGCAGCCUGUGGCCAGCCCUGCAGGAAACGUGAGCAGACAUAGACAGACGCGUGCCUCUGCUCCUUUCACUCCGGGGCUCUGGACCCUUUGGUCCCGGCAGUCAAGCUCCCCAGGGUGGAGAAGAACUCCUCCAUCUCCCUCUGCAGCAGCUGGUUCCUGCGCUCCGCGUCCUCCCGUGCUCGCUCCGAGUUCCGGAGCUUGAUCUCCAGCAUGGCGUACUUCUUCCUCUCCUGGUCCAGCUCCUCUUCCAACCGAGACAUCUGCUUUCGCAGGCUCCUCUUGUACUCAGUCCUCUGCUGACACAACUCUGCCCUGAGCUCAGCCACCUGGCCCUGGAGAGCCCGGCAGCGGCGAACAUGGGCCUGUGUGGGGCUGCCUGGGUCAUUGGGCUCACUGCUGCCACUGCCCACACAUGGCUCAUCCAGGCUGUGGCCCAGGUCCGGGGACUGGUGGCCCUCACUGCUGCUGGGGAGAGGAGAGGGCUCAAGAGCCCACUCGGUGUGUAAGGAGCUGCAGGCAGAAGAAUUGCUGGCCCGGCAGGCUGUGCAGCUGCUGACAGAGGCCUCUCGGGAUGACGAGGCUACAGACCAUGACGUGCUGGCCACACUGGCAGUGCUAGAAAAUUGGCUAGAUGGCGGCACAUUGUCAUAGGUGGAGAGUCUCUGUGCUGAGCCUGAAUCUUUAAGGCGGUCCCCCGAUGAGGCCCGACGGUGGCUGCGAAGAGACGAUAGCCCGUUUAUGAGCCAGUUCCCGCCAGAGGAGAUGAUGGGUACCUCUAAGGAUGAGUUGACCCCUUUGGGGCUCUCUGACCGGGACGCCUGCUGCCGAAAAGAAGACUUCCAGCCAGGCAAAGUGUGCAUCUUCUUCCCAGGGCUGGUGGCUGUGGGGCCAGUUUGGCUGCCAAGGCGCGGCGGCGAAGUUCUAGAUAGCACUGCUGCAGCUGGCCCAUCCAGAGAUGAAGUCCUAUGUGUGGGCAAGCCAGGGCUGCCAGGCUCACCCCGGUGAUCCCUGGUGACCUCUUCAGAGCCCCACUCUACUGUGCCAUGUGGUGAAGCAGGUUCUUCAAGGGAGGUUGCAGCAAAAAGCUGUCCAUGUUUGCGGAUGAGGACAGUCAUCAGAUGCUGAACCAGAGAUGUGCCUGUGAUAAAAGGGAGAGGUUGGCUGCAAGUGGCAAUACCCAUGCCUCUAACACACUCAGGUCUAACUACAGCUCAGCCACAGGAUGCCUGGUCCUGCAGGGCACCUCACCUGUGUCUGAAUGAGAUCCAGCAUACCAGCCAGUACCAAGCACACACAGGACUGUGCCCACCAAGCCCCUGAGCAUGGAGGAAGCAUAGCACUGCUCACCCUAGGGGGAGGUAGGUGCCAUGCACACACGAUGCUCAUCAAGGCCACAGGAUGAUGGGUGGCAGGAUGCAAGUGGAAAUCAGAAGCCAGUAAGUCAGCCCAUCCACCACACAUGAUUGAACAGAGUUUACACUCACACACACACACACACACACACACACACACACACACACACACACACAAAUGCACGCACAUCCUUUUAAAAAAUUACUUAUUUGGGAGCUCAGCAGUUAAGAACACUUGGUGUUCUUACAGAGGACCUGGGUUCAAUUCCCAGCACUCAAAUGGGGACUCACAACCAUUCAUAACUCUAGAUCCAGGGGAUCCAAUGCCCUCUGCUAACCUCAGCAGACUCCAGGCAUGCACAUGAUACACAUAGACAUACAUGCAGACAAAACACUGAUACACAUUUAAAAAUGAAAAUUUUUAAAGGC